GAUGAACGCUGGCGGCGUGCCUAAUACAUGCAAGUCGAGCGAACGGACGAGAAGCUUGCUUCUCUGAUGUUAGCGGCGGACGGGUGAGUAACACGUGGAUAACCUACCUAUAAGACUGGGAUAACUUCGGGAAACCGUAGCUAAUACCGGAUAAUAUUUUGAACCGCAUGGUUCAAAAGUGAAAGACGGUCUUGCUGUCACUUAUAGAUGGAUCCGCGCUGCAUUAGCUAGUUGGUAAGGUAACGGCUUACCAAGGCAACGAUGCAUAGCCGACCUGAGAGGGUGAUCGGCCACACUGGAACUGAGACACGGUCCAGACUCCUACGGGAGGCAGCAGUAGGGAAUCUUCCGCAAUGGGCGAAAGCCUGACGGAGCAACGCCGCGUGAGUAAUGAAGGUCUUCGGAUCGUAAAACUCUGUUAUUAGGGAAGAACAUAUGUGUAAGUAACUGUGCGCAUCUUGACGGUACCUAAUCAGAAAGCCACGGCUAACUACGUG
rnacentral:rRNA from 1 species